CCCGAGCCUUUAGAGCACACCAGAAGCCUCCCCGCACUCCACUACCCCUCCCCAGCCUCUCAUUCGACCUCGAGGAGCUCCCUGUGCCCACCAUCGCCGCCUUGGCCGCCGCCUCUGCUCACUUCGAUUCCGGCGAACCACGCCCCCUCCCUUCAUUCUUCCACCACUAGUCGACCGACCAGACUCCGGCGGACCGCACAACCUCCUUUACUUUUUGCCAAGACCCCGGUGGCGUCGUCUCCAACUCCGGCCGAGCCGCCGUCCGCCACCACGCGAACCCUGCCCGACCCCUUCCUCUCCGGCGUGAGCCAUGGGCUCAGAUCGACGCGGCUCUCCGCGCUGAGCUCUUCGGUAGGUGGAGCGUCGCCGGAGGCCCUCUGUGGCGCCUGCUAGCGUCGCCCGACGCCGGCGGCCUCCCUGCCUCGCGGGCGGGCGUGAGGAAGAUGAAGCCGCCCCGCCCAGCUGGCCAGACGGGCCCCACCACCGUGCGUGAACCCACCCAUCAGCCUCUCCGUGCGUUGACCCGGCCCAGAUGACGUGAAAGCAUACUCCACCCCAAUACGUUUUCGGUUUUCUCAGUUAGGGGCUUGUUUGCAGAAAACUUUUCACAAAUAGGCCCCUGGCGGAAAACACUUUAUAACUUUUCAACCACAACUCCAAAUGAGCCCGCUUCGAGAGAGAACGUUUUCCGGCGAUUCUUUCCGCGAGCUUCUCG